GUCGUGUUGCCGCUGCAUGAACUGCCCGACCAGUUCCCGCACUCACAGCUCAUACAACUAGUGGCAGAAUCAGAAGAGUGGAGUUCCUCGUGUCGCAUCGAGCGCUGGUGCAGCACGCGGCACCCGGCGCUGCGCCCUGCCAUCACGUGGCUCGGCGUGCGGCCGCCAGGCGCGCCCGUAGCCACCCACCUCACCGUGCUCAAUGACACACAUCAACAUAUCUGCUGGUGGGCGUCGGUCCACCGCUGGUGUCGCGAGCGCGGCCCCGCGGCGCCGUGCGA